rnacentral:rRNA from 1 species
UACGUAGGGGGCAAGCGUUGUCCGGAAUCAUUGGGCGUAAAGAGCGCGUAGGCGGCCCUGUAAGUCCGCUGUGAAAGUCAAGGGCUCAACCCUUGGAUGCCGGUGGAUACUGCAGGGCUAGAGUCCGGAAGAGGCGAGUGGAAUUCCUGGUGUAGCGGUGAAAUGCGUAGAUAUCGGGAGGAACACCUGAGGCGAAGGCGGGCUACUGGGCCGAUACUGACGCUGAGGCGCGAAAGCCAGGGGAGCAAACGGG